GAUGAACGCUGGCGGCGUGCCUAAUACAUGCAAGUCGAGCGAACAGAUGAGGAGCUUGCUCCUCUGACGUUAGCGGCGGACGGGUGAGUAACACGUGGAUAACCUACCUAUAAGACUGGGAUAACUUCGGGAAACCGGAGCUAAUACCGGAUAAUAUAUUGAACCGCAUGGUUCAAUAGUGAAAGACGGUUUUGCUGUCACUUAUAGAUGGAUCCGCGCCGCAUUAGCUAGUUGGUAAGGUAACGGCUUACCAAGGCAACGAUGCGUAGCCGACCUGAGAGGGGGAUCGGCCACACUGGAACUGAGACACGGUCCAGACUCCUAAGGGAGGCAGAAGUAGGGAAUCUUCCGCAAUGGGCGAAAGCCUGACGGAGCAAAGCCGCGUGAGUGAUGAAGGUCUUCGGAUCGUAAAACUCUAUUAUUAGGGAAGAACAAAUGUGUAAGUAACUAUGCACGUCUUGACGGUACCUAAUCAGAAAGCCACGGCUAACUACGUG
rnacentral:rRNA from 1 species